GAUGAACGCUGGCGGCGUGCCUAAUACAUGCAAGUCGAGCGAACAGACGAGGAGCUUGCUCCUCUGACGUUAGCGGCGGACGGGUGAGUAACACGUGGAUAACCUACCUAUAAGACUGGGAUAACUUCGGGAAACCGGAGCUAAUACCGGAUAAUAUAUUGAACCGCAUGGUUCAAUAGUGAAAGACGGUUUUGCUGUCACUUAUAGAUGGAUCCGCGCCGCAUUAGCUAGUUGGUAAGGUAACGGCUUACCAGGGCGACGAUGCGUAGCCGACCUGAGAGGGGGGUCGCCAACAGGGGAACUGAGACGGGGACCAGACUCCUGCGGGAGGCAGCAGUGGGGAAUCUUCCGAAGUGGGCGAAGGCCUGGAGGAACAGCGCCGCGUGAGAGAUGAAGGUCUUCGGAUCGUAAAACUGUGUUAUAAGGAAAGAAAAAAUGUGUAAGUAACUAUGCACGUCUUGACGGUCACUAAUCAAAAAGCCCCGGCUAACUACGUG
rnacentral:rRNA from 1 species